CCCCACUGCCCUUCAUUUUAGUGACAAAGCAGAAGCAGAAAGAACAAAGCCCAGCUCUUUCGGGAAACAUUCGACGUUAAACCAGCAUUAUUUCAACAUCGUUGAAGUAUCUUCCUGAAAUAAUUACUUUGUGAUUCGUUUUCUCAAGGCGACUCUUCUCACAUACCUCACUUUUAUCAACUUAACCAAGGUUUCGAUCUAUUCCACAACCGACCUGCCUGUGGCAGAAAACCAAAUUAAUGGCCAAGGAGGAAGGAUCUCACUCAGAAAUGGCCCAUGCUCGUUGGAGUGACGGUAUUAAUGUCAUCUUUGACCAGAACAGUCCUGCCUCAUUGCGCUCCUGUUCCCGCAGCAGCAGUGGCAGCAACCGCUCCUCCGAGUCUGACCAACACAAGGCGCUUGGACGCCGCAGGAGACAUUACAGGUCCUCAUCAUCGUCCAGAAGCAGGUCAACUCCUCGCACCAGGUCCCGCUCUCGCCCUCGCUGCAAUAGACCUUCAUCCCGCUGUCGCUGUGACAACCACCACAGAAACCGCAGGGCCCACCACCGCCGCUCUCAUGCACACCGUGUCAGGGCCCACUCUCGCUCCGUCAGCCGCUCGCCUUCACCAGACAGGUACUCGCACCGCAGACGCAACAGGUCCCGCUCUAGUUCCAACAGCCAUAGGAACAGACACCAGAGGACAGUCGGCAGAUUCGAUAGCAGGGUUUCACGAUCCCCAGCCGACAGCUACAGAAGCCGCUCGAGGUCUGGAUCUUCAAGUUCCUCGCUAAGUUUAAGUCUGGAAGAUAAACAGGAACUCCUCAUUGCUACAAAGAGCCUGGACGUGGAACAUCUACAACUUCCGGAGAGUGUACAACCUAUCUUGUUGGAGGAGAUCGAGUCUCAAAGGCUGUCAUCAAAACCAGAGACAAGGGUGAGACAAGGCCCAGAAAAGACUGCAUCACAGGAAAAAAUCAGGAGUUAUGCUUUAAAUAGAAGGCACUCCUAUUGGACCAGUUUAUUAAAGAUAAUAAACACCCGUGGCAGUACAUCGAGCAAGGUAAAAUGUCUACAUGUGACUGUUGAUAAGCAUGAGUUCUGUGCUUUGUUCAAUUUUCUGUCUUGUGUUAACCUUUGGACCUCAAAGGGAACACACAUACUCUCUGUAUUUAUUCCUGUCUUCAUAGAUAACAUGACAGUGGUCUCCUUCACUCAUCGGCGCCUGGGAUUAAAAGGCUGUCAUGUGACUUGGGUGAAGACUAUAUGUGUUUGCUGGAAAGGUUAUUUGAUGACUCCCGUUAUGUUGUAUCAUGAAUGAGGUCUGCCGCUAAACUCACACAUAUUUAGAUGAGCUCACACAUAGAAAUUAUUCACAUUUAAUUUAAGUGCUAAUUACACACAUAGAUACUUGAAUGUUGUACAAGUAAUUCAGAGUACACUACAGCACUUCAUGUAUAAAGGCAAAAGAAAUUUGACAAUACAAAUGUAUUCAUGCUUGCAGUUGAAAUGGGUCAUUGUUAUUUAGCAGAACCUUCCACUCACUGAUGGGGCGCAGGCGUGUGGACUGCGUUAUAGUGACUAUUCCUGUCGAGAGAGCUAUAAAAAGACGAAGAACUCCUCUCCGUAUGCCAAAGAUAAGUUGGUACACAAGGCGUGUGCUGAGGGGCUGGGAAACCAACGUCACCACCAUUCUUCCACUCUAGACAGAGAAGACUUCCUUUUUAAUUUGAAUAUUUUGUUUGCAUUUUUGUCUUAUUCAGUUUCAGGGUCUGUCCUUUUGAAGUAUUCAGUGAAUGGCUAAGCUUAGUCUUUGACAGCAGUGUGGGGGUGGGAAGAGUGCAUGGGAGUUAAUACUUGGUAAUCUAUGCAAUAGAAGUGUUUUAAUUUAUUAGUAAUUCAGUAUAUCAUCCAUCUAAAUGAUUAUCAGAAGAAGAAGAAGAACUUCACAAACUGUCUAAGCUCACGACAGCAUGAGUUUUACACUUCUAACUGGGUCCGUUUUUCUUGUCAUUUGGAAAUAGAGCCACAAGGUGGAGUCUGAUGACAUUUCCAACCCAAAGUCGCCCCCCAGAAGGAAGGAAAUCUCUUUCAGUAUCAAUAAUUCCGUUGCCAAACCCAUUGUGGCGGCACCUUCAAUGGGAAAGGUAACGUCCAGAGUGGACAGCUUUGGAAGGAGGAAGCCCUACGGUCACUGGGUUCCAGUCAAAUCACGCCACUUCUGUUAGUUAGUGCGACAACGGACACUGUACAUACUGUAAAUGUUUUGUAGAUAUGUUCAUUCAUGGCGACAUUUUCUUUCAGAUAUUAGAGUGUUAAGUGGGAUAAAGUGAAGAAUUCGGUACAGGUGGGAUGAUUUUUUUUUGCCCUUUGUAUUGUAUUUAAAAUUUCUAGAGAUUAAAUAAAGUCUAUUUGGGGAAAACA